rnacentral:lncRNA from 1 species
CUGGUUUGUCACAUCCUUGUUCACAGUCCAAUUCACAUAGAAGUGUCUACAGUUUAUCAUAUAUUUUUAUAAAUGAAUCUACAAGAUACAGAUAAUCGUACUUUGUAUUUGAGGCUCCAGGUUCAGAACUGAAUGACAGAGGCUCAAAUCUGGACCAGUCGUUCUUCAUAGAUACACAUCUUGAUCCUGGAGACUCUGCUUCAUCCCUCUCCUCCACAAUAAGACUCAUCUUCUGAAAAAGCCACAGAUCCAGAGCUAAACACCUGCUGUCACUUGUAUUAAAGUGAAACUUAGUCUAGGAUCUCACACAAUGACGUUGUGCCUUUGUUUAAAAGGAGUCUGGUGUUGGACUCAAUUUUGAGUUUCAUGUUGUGGCUUUAAAGUCACUGACUCAUGUUGAAAAGUUUGCUUCUCUCUUGUUUUUUAAUACAGCCACUGUGCUCACAGGAUGCUUUGGCUGCUCCGAGUCUGUCGGAUGUCACAGGAGUCACUGAGGCUGAAACAGGAGCACAAGAUUGUGACUAUGGCAAUCAUAACAUGCUGGUGCACGAGAGCCGCCACGGUCUGCUGCCACAAUACACACCUCAGGUUCAAAGGCAGCCUGCCACCAUUAAAACUGUUAAAAGGUGGAUGGAUGAGGACCGUGUUGCUCUGCAGAGCUGCUUUGAAGACACUGACUGGGAGGCUCUCUGUGAACCUCAUGGUGAGUUACAUUACAGACUCCAUGCAUCCUCUGAUCAAACCCUCAGUCAAUCCCCUCCAGUUUGCAUAUCAACCCUAUCUAGGAGUGGAGAACCACCUCCAACUGAACAUCAGUAAAACUAAGACUAAGCUGAUUUUGACUUUUGGAAGUCUGGGAGUGCUGUGAGCUGAGAGGAGGACGCUGGUCAAACUCCUCUCUAGCCUAAACAACACCUCCCACCCCCUAGCAUUUUUUUAAACAGUUUGUAGUUUUUUAGCUUUACGCAUGAACAAAUGCACUAAAUAUUAAGGAAUAUAGAUAUGCCAUAUAUCAUAUUAAUCCAUAGAGUCUUGGCUUUAAUGCUGUAUAAAUGUAUUUUACAUUGACAAACACGGAGUUCAACUAGCUCAAACUUGGUCUCUAGCUC